rnacentral:rRNA from 1 species
AUACGAGGGGUGCAAGCGUUAAUCGGAAUUACUGGGCGUAAAGCGUUCGUAGGCGGUUUGUUAAGCAAGAUGUGAAAGCCCUGGGCUCAACCUGGGAACUGCAUUUUGAACUGGCAAGCUAGAAUACUGUAGAGGGUGGUGGAAUUUCCAGUGUAGCGGUGAAAUGCGUAGAGAUUGGAAGGAACAUCAGUGGCGAAGGCGGCCACCUGGACAGAUAUUGACGCUGAGGAACGAAUGCGUGGGGAGCGAACAGGAUUAGAAACCCGAGUAGUCC